CCCGUCUCUGCGCUCCGGGAGGCGGUCCCCUCGGCUGCGGGGCGUCGUGAGGUCCCCUCGGCUGCGGGGCGUCGUGAGGUCCCCUCGGCUGCGGGGCGUCGUGAGGUCCCCUCGGCUGCGGCGCGUCCUGAGGUCCCCUCGGCUGCGGGGCGUCGUGAGGUCCCCUCGGCUGCGGGCGUCCUGAGGUCCCCUCGGCUGCGGGGCGUCGUGAGGUCCCCUCGGCUGCGGGCGUCCUGAGGAACCGCCUACGCGGAGCGGACGGGGUGCCUCUCCGGGGGCCGCCUCGGCCCUCCCCAACCCCGUGUUCCCAUAAGCAGGG